rnacentral:rRNA from 1 species
UGGGGAAUUUUCCGCAAUGGGCGCAAGCCUGACGGAGCAAUACCGCGUGAGGGAGGAAGGCUUUUGGGUCGUAAACCUCUUUUUUUAAGGAAGAAGAAAGUGACGGUACCUNAAGAAUAAGCAUCGGCUAACUCCGUGCCAGCAGCCGCGGUAAUACGGAGGAUGCAAGCGUUAUCCGGAAUCAUUGGGCGUAAAGCGUCCGCAGGUGGUUAAUCAAGUCUGUUGUUAAAGACAGAAGCUCAACUUCUUAUAGGCNAUGGAAACUGGAUAACUAGAGUACGGUAGGGGUAGAGGGAAUUCCCGGUGUAGCGGUGAAAUGCGUAGAUAUUGGGAAGAACACCAGUGGCGAAGGCGCUCUACUGGGCCUUAACUGACACUGAGGGACGAAAGCUAGGGGAGCGAAAGGGAUUAGAUACCCCUGUAGUC